GAUGAACGCUGGCGGCGUGCCUAAUACAUGCAAGUCGAGCGAACGGACGAGAAGCUUGCUUCUCUGAUGUUAGCGGCGGACGGGUGAGUAACACGUGGAUAACCUACCUAUAAGACUGGGAUAAUUUCGGGAAACCGGAGCUAAUACCGGAUAAUAUUUUGAACCGCAUGGUUCAAAAGUGAAAGACGGUCUUGCUGUCACUUAUAGAUGGAUCCGCGCUGCAUUAGCUAGUUGGUAAGGUAACGGCUUACCAAGGCAACGAUGCAUAGCCGACCUGAGAGGGUGAUCGGCCACACUGGAACUGAGACACGGUCCAGACUCCUACGGGAGGCAGCAGUAGGGAAUCUUCCGCAAUGGGCGAAAGCCUGACGGAGCAACGCCGCGUGAGUGAUGAAGGUCUUCGGAUCGUAAAACUCUGUUAUUAGGGAAGAACAUAUGUGUAAGUAACUGUGCACAUCUUGACGGUACCUAAUCAGAAAGCCGCGGCUAACUACGUG
rnacentral:rRNA from 1 species